rnacentral:tRNA from 2 species
AAAAUCCGUCGACUUAAGAAAUCGUGAGG